ACCAAGGGGCAGCAGGGCAGGUCGCUGGAGGCUCCUGUGCCUGAUGUUUGCCCAGGAUCACGAGCCCUGAAACACCCCUGGGAACAUCCACAAUGUGCUUUUUCCCACCUUCCUGUCCCCAGGACCAGCAGGGAAUGAGCCAGGGAGGAGUUGGAAACCUCUUCACAAGUUCCUAAUAAAACCUUUUCCCUCAAGGUGUUGAAUUUACCCCGAUUUCCCCUAAAAGGCAGAGAGGUGUUGCAGGUGUUGCUGCAUUUUUUGAGACAUGGGACAGUGACUGUGAACAAAAAACAAUUCCUGGUGUAAACGGUGAAUUCCUCCCUUUAUUUUUGCAGGUAGCAGUGGGAAUGAAAGCAAUUCCAUUUGCCACACAGGCUCCACAAAUGAGUAACUUCAGUGGGAUUUGUUCAUACAAAAGAGAAAAGAUCACCUGGAUUCUUCUGGAGCUGGGAGUCAGGGCCAGAAAUCUCCAGGAAAGACCUGCCCAAGGACCAAGAAGAGGAUCUCACCUCUCCAGAGCUCCAUCCCACCUGGAGCUCCAGCCCGGUGCUGGUGGCAGACUGAGGGAGGAGGAAUAAACCCCAACGUUUCAAAGCUCCGUGGAACACAGGGUAUGUGGAUUUGUUCUCCAUGGCUUUCUUUAAUUAUCCUGAAUUUCUGUGUUGUGCUAACCUCGAUUGUAUUCAGAGGAAAGUUUCAGAAUCAGGGAUAUCCAGAGAGGAAGGAACUAAGGAAAAUAUUCACAUUGAGGCCCCUCCCAGCAUGUGACCAGAGCUGGGCUCUCCAGCACUCAGCAGCUGAGGAACAUCUGGAGUUAAUUUCUAAUUCCACCAUGAAUUCCCUUCUUUUCCAGGCUCUGCCAGGACUGGUGAAGUCUCUUUUGAGAAGCACACAGAAAAUCUGCCAUCCCAAAUCCAUCUCCUUCCCAGUGGCCAGCAGCCUGAGGAGGAGCUGUUUACAGAUCUCCUUUUGGCAGCUGGGUGAGAAGGGAAUGCCAUGGCCCAGGAGGGAUUGCCAAGGAAGGAUUACCAAGGUUCAAGCUGUAUUCCAAGGGGACACGAGUUCUGUGUGUCACCUCUGCACCAGGUCAGUGCCUUCUCCCUGGACUCUCCUCUGAGGAGCAUCCCUGAGCCCUCAGGCUCUGCAGAUGGUUUUAGGGGUGAUCAAAAUGGCACAGUGGAAAUUCCCUGGUGUCAGGAAGGCUGAAAUGAUUCGAUAAAUUGGAUUAGAUCAAUUUUUUUUCUUAUAGGAAGCAAAUGGCUGGUGGAAAGUUUCAGGAAGUGCUUUAUGAUCAGGCAGAGUGAGUCAGUUUUGAAUUUUCUGCUUUUUUUUUUACAUUUUGUAGUUGGUUGGAAAAGUCUGUAAGCUCUGGUUUAUUGUUUGCAAAGUGCUGAAAACACCGUGACGCUCCUGAAAAUACAAAUAAUAGUGGCAGUGGACAGUAGCUUAUCAAACCUUUUCUGAUGGCUCAGAAAUCCCUGAGUUCUUUUAUUCCCCACCCCUGUGCUUCAGCUUCUGGCUUUGGAUGCCAGCAAAGCACAGCUGGGGCUGUGCAGAUGGGACACAGAACCACACGGAUUUGGGGUGGCAGGGACGUGACUUCAUGUUCCUUUCUCCUUCAGCUUAUCUGAGGGGAGGAAACUGGGGACCUUAUCUUCUUCUGAGUGGAAAAACUGAUUUCAAGUGCACAUGUUUGAAGCUGCAGCACUGAGCCAGGUUGGCUUGACUAAACCACAAAAUCUGACUGAGCCUAAUUAGAAAGCAGGAUGCCUCCCAGCACUUAAAGGUUGCUUUCAAGAUUCUGAUGAGCUGACAAAACAGAUUAGUGAGAGGUGGGAUUGGUAUGAGCCACGUUUGGCGUUUUCCUGCUUGGUGGCAGCAACAAGAGGCCCUGUGUGGAGAUCAGAGCAUGAGCCUGAGUGAAUUCACAGCCAGUGACUGCACAGAGCUCCCGGGGUGGAUGGGCUGGGCUGAGCUGGAGAUGCUGCUGACCUUCGAGCUGAAUGCUGUUCUGCUUUGAACUACAAGAGGAGAGAUUUAGAUGAGUUUUAGAAGAUGAUCAGAGGGUGGACAGGCCCCGGCAAAGGGUGCCGAGAGAAGCUGGGGAUGCCCCUGGA
rnacentral:lncRNA from 1 species